GUGAGCUAUAGCCAAUUAGAGUUAUAGUUGGCCUUGAUAAAAACAAGCCAUUUACCAAACGGACCUGCCAUCAUUCACUUUGAACUGGACUGUGUGUUUACAGGCAGUUGCAACAGCGUGACUUUAGAUCAUUAGAACGCAUUCGGAAAAAGCCACGUAAAUACACCAGAAUGGAUUUCUGAAAAUAUGUAAACACCAUGGGAGUCCUCUUACAUUUGGGAACUUUACUGUCCUAUUGAUCAAACAACCAUGAAAGUCCUUCCCAGUUUUGACCGUUCUGCCCGCACUGAGCCUGAGGAUGCCUGCCGGUUUGUACCUUACCGCACCGUUCUGGAUUAUUGACCCCUGCCUGCAUUGACCUGUCGUUUGCCUGCCCCUGUUGUUGUAAUAAACUCUUAUUACUUCGGCACUGUCUGCAUCUGGGUCUUAACUAAACAUGAUAGUUAGGGUUAUAGGGUUGAGGGUUGACCAGUGAUGUGGGCAUGAAGCUAGGGUUAGGGUUAGGGCUACGUUUAGGAUUACUGCUGUGAGUACAGUGUAACACAUUGAAUCAAUAAGUAAUUACAAUACUUGUUCAACUGUAAUUGCACAAGUAGCUAGACAGUAAUAAGGGAGUUGUAAUGUAAAGUGGUACUAUUUAAAGUUAGAUAAUUAUUUUUUUGUAUUUUUUUGUGAAAACGCAAUUCGUAACAAGAUGAAGACAGAAUUAAUUCUCUCUCAUUCACUGUGUGUGUAUGUAUGACCAUGAGUUACAAAAGUAACGAUACAAAGCCCUGUGCCUAAUGACUAUCCUCUAUCAGCUGUACUAUACUGACUCCUUGUGGAAACCUUUAUAACUGCAGUUUUGAUCAUACUUUAUGUAUUUUUUCCCAUGGUGCCAGCUUGAGAAAUGUGCUUUGCAUAAUAAUUGGGUGCUAUGUGACUCUACAAAAAAGAGCAGUGAUCAAAUCAAUUUUCACUAAAUGUCAAUAAUGUGGUCAUCAAAAUUUCCAAUAAAUAAUUUGAAAACCUGAA